rnacentral:rRNA from 1 species
UACGAGAGGCCCAAACGUUAUUCGGAAUUACUGGGCUUAAAGAGUUCGUAGGCGGCGCGGAAAGUGGGGUGUGAAAGCCCUCGGCUCAACCGAGGAAUUGCGCUCCAAACUGCCGUGCUUGAGGGACCUAGAGGUGAGCGGAACUGAUGGUGGAGCGGUGAAAUGCGUUGAUAUCAUCAGGAACACCGGAGGCGCAGGCGGCUCACUGGGGGUCUUCUGACGCUGAGGAACGAAAGCCAGGGGAGCGAACGGG